rnacentral:rRNA from 1 species
UUGACCUCGGAUCAGGUAGGGAUACCCGCUGAACUUAAGCAUAUCAAUAAGCGGAGGAAAAGAAACCAACAGGGAUUGCCCCAGUAACGGCGAGUGAAGCGGCAAGAGCUCAAAUUUGAAAGCUGG